CGCUAUUUAAAAGGCGCUCAUCUCCGUGUUGUUUACCUGCAAACAUCGGUGUGUACGGCUCUUUUCUGCAAGUCGUGUUGGUCGUAAACUAUUGUUUUUAACUCACAAUUUGGCCUCGUAGCUGCCUACUUUAAUAAUGUCGUCUGUUGAAGUUCGUGCUACGCAGCUCCCAGCCGCAGUGAACCCCGGGAAGAUGGGGAAGAAACCCGCAGCAGGUCCGAGGAGGGCUGCUCUCGGGGAGCUGACCAACUUCCCUGCAGCAACAGUCCACACAAAGAGGACUGGACCGACCAAAUCGACCGCAUCAGUCAA